rnacentral:pre_miRNA from 1 species
UGGAGAAGCAGGGCACGUGCAUGCUCCUAACUUCUCGCGCGCUCCUCUCCGCCGAGAUCCAUCGUUCAUCUAUAUCUCCAUGGAUAUGGAGCUAUAUAUGGACUGGAUCGCGGAGAGAAAGCUAGCUAGUAUACUGCACGCACGUGUUCUCCUUCUCCAU